rnacentral:lncRNA from 1 species
UUCUCUUUUAAUAAAGAAGAUGUGUCAUGUGUAUCAUCUAAACUAUUAAAACAGAAGUACAUUUUGUACUUGACCCAGACUUUUCCCAAAUAAUUACAAUUGAUUGCCACUGACCUUAUGCACAGUCGUUUUAUAAAAUGACUAAGCCAUCUAAUUAAAUUUGAGCCGCUUUAAAUAACUCAAAACAAAACCGGACGGAACUUAUUCUUGCGGGUUUCCAGACCAAAUAUGUCUCGGUUAAUCUGGGUCUGCACAAUUAAAACCAAUAGAUUAGAUAGAUACAAAAUUCAGUUGACUGCAUUAAAAAAAAAUUUAAAUAAUCAACCACAUACUUCCGAUUCAUUAUAUAUAUCAUGAUUAAGAAAGACUGUAAUUAUCAAAGAAUUGUUACUCAUCUUAGUAUCGUUUUCAUGUAUCUAUUGGUUUUUUGGUUUUGUAGCAUGAUGUAUGUUAAAAUGUAUCGAUCAAGCUAAGAUUUUUUUUUUUUUUUUUAACUUUCAUCUUUUUAUUAAUACAAAUUCGAAGAUACAUAGUCUUUAUGCAAGUAAUGUGUUACAAAUCUUGGAAUAUAAUCCUAAAGGUAUUAUCGUAUACCAAUAAUUUAGUACUUUCCUAAUCAAUAACAUUCCAUAAAUUGUAUUUUCCUAAUCAAUAACAUUCCAUAAAUUUCGUAAACCCAUAACUAACGCAAUGACAAUUAACUGCACUAAAUAAAACUGAUAAAUUCAUUUUUUUCCUAAACUCAAAAACCUUCCAUAAUUGUUCAGCAUUUCAACGCAGUCAUCAUAACGAAAAAGAUAUCAUUAAACUAACAAAAUCUGCACAUUUUAUUAUCUAACUUGCAAAUCACGUUUGGCUAAUCUUUAAAACGAAUAUUUCUGUUAGUAUGCUGAUUUAAUAUAUAAGAAAUGUUUAGUCACUAAUUCAAAACCGUAUAUAUUAUUUUUUCAAUUCUUUAGAAUCACAACUAACAAAAUCUUUUCUUAAAUUCUCCUAUUUAACAUACCCUUUCGAAAGGGAACUAUAUAUACCCCUACUCUAUUGCGUCAAGAGAAAAGCAUUGAACAUCCUCAACCUAAACAUGUCGUUAGCGACAACUUUUACUCUUCUCAAAAGUCAGACCUUUUAGUUUUAUGUAGAGUUCUUUUUCUGAUUAAGAGUUGUAUUUGUGUUUUCUUGUAUGUCUUAGAAAGACACAGAAGUUAAAUGAAUGACCAGUUUUUUGUGCAAGUAUCAGAUACCCACAUGUUUGUUCUGGUGGAAGAAUGCUUACUGGUUCGUAUGCUUCAGAAAGAUUGUUUUAAUUUUUUUAAACAACAUUUUUUCGUGGUUAUCAAACAAACAUUCGCUUAAAUAAGAUUCUUUUUCCUUUGUUUAGGACAAACAUAUUCAUUCUCACAAAGUAAUUUGAAUCUAUUUUAUUUUUUUUGUUAUAUAAGACUAUCAUUAACAUGUACCUAGAAAUGCAUCUCAGUCAAGUUGAAACCUUUUAUUUAUAGUUAAAGAAAGGUUCUUUCAAUCUUCUAACUGAUUCUAAAUCGUUCUACAUAGGUUUCACCAUAUGAAUUACUUAAGAUAAAUAAGUAACUACUAACCGUGUUAUGUUUCUAUUGUUCGCAAGGUUGUUGUCUUCAUUUGCAGGUGGAUAGCUGGAAGUACUUGGUUCUCAGAACGAUCCAGUAUCAUGCAAAACAUUAAAAGGUCUAAUAUCAUUAUAUGAUUUGUAUAAAAAGAAACAAAAUUCGUUUUUUUUUAACUAGCAGGCAAUCACACGACAUAUUAUGAAAGGUAUCAAUAUUUAACAACUACUUACCAUGUUUUUUUUUGUCCCUUCACUUUGACUUUUGUAGAACUGAUUCUCAUAUUUUUGUACUUCUCCCUUCCGUCUUGCUUUUUUGUAUAGAUCACUUCUGGCUACUCUUCCUCUCUUACUCCAGUAAGAGCAGUUUGUCGAUACCUCUAAAUAAGUCAUUUCUGAAAUCAAUAAGCUAUAAGAAAGUUGACCCUGACUUAGAAUAGUAUUCAUCUAAUACAACACUAUCUGAACUUACCUUGCAGUGUAGAUUCUGUGAUUCCUCAGAUCACGAUACUUGGGUGUUCUAGCAUUUAAACAGAGCUUCUGCAAUCAAGUCAUUCAUCUUCGCCAGAACUUCUAAAAAGUCAAUCAUCGAUUAUCCUUGACGAUUUGAAUUACCUAAUCAAUAUGUAUGAAACAAUUAGUACACAGAUCUGAAAACGAAAUCUCAAGCGCUUCAGAACAAAUUAUAAGACUAACGUUGAGAGAUCACAUGGAUCCACUUACGGGACAAUCUUUUUCGUUUCGUUAGGUGAGUCUUCGAUUGAGAUUAGGAGAUUGUUUAAGGUUGAUGAAUUGAGAUGAAGAAAUACAUCUCUGCCUCACCGACACAAAAAAAUAAAAGAGACACCGAGGGGAAGAUGAAUGGUUAGGUAACAUCGUGUUUCCCGGAUAAAGAAGAAGAAAUAGUUAGACUUCCAGAUGGGUUUAGUUUAAAGGCAAGGCCCAUUUAUGUACUUUGUAAAUUAGCUUAGCCAUUUAAUACUGAAGCUUAUGUUAAUAGGCUUAUUCUAAUGUAUAAUAUUCAUUUACUUAUAAAUCAUCUUAAUAAUAUGAUCUUAUAAUAAGUUAAUUGAGCUUCGGUGCAUUAGACUAUAAUAUAUAUCAAAAUGGAUUUAAAAUAAGAGCUUCACCAUUAUAACAAUUAAUAUAUAAUAUAUUCUAUAUAUGUGUUAGUAUAUUUUAUUUUUAAUUUAUAUAUUCCAAAUUUUUACAAAGUACAAAUACAUUCAUAUAAACAAACAACUAAAGAAAUGAAAUAUAUUAAUCAAAAAUAGCAACGUAUAAAUAUAUAAAAUAUUAUGUGUAGACAUGUCAUAAAACAGUUGUGUAAUACGAAAAUAUUAUAUAUCUAUAGUAUUUGAAUAUAUAUAAAUUCAAGAUUUUAUUUAUAAAAAUGACAUUCGCGCGAAUGCACGAAUCAAAGUUUAGUCUAUCUUAUUAAAAUAGAAGUAUUUUUAAGAAUUGUUUGGGAACAUUGAUAUCAAUUUAAAAAAAAGAAUAUAAUGUCGUUUGGAAAUAUAAAUAGCAUUAUGUUAAAAAAGGGCUUAUAUUAUUAAGAAAAAUUAGAAGUAUAUUAUAUUAUUAGAA